GAUUUAAAUUAAAAGUACUUAAUGUGUGCAACAGUUUCUCUUCCUACCUUCUGUUGUCCUUCCAACAUUCACACUCUAAUACUAGGGUGGGAAACUCCAGGCCUCAAGGGUUGAAGUCCUGCAGGUUUUAGAUCUCACCCUGGGUCAACACACUGGAAUCAAAUGAUUAGUUCAUUACCAGGCCACUGCAGAAUUUCAAGACAUGUUCCAACAGGCCCACAAGCACUUGCACAUCUAAAGAUAAAGAUGACUACAUACGGGCAGGUUAGCAAUGCAACCAUCAUUGCCCUUCUUGAACAGUUUAACACCAAGGUCCUGAAUGGUAUACCCCACAUUCUCUCUGUGACAAACAUUAAAAAAGUUGGAGCAUAAAAAUUGAAUGUGGACACAAGUCAAAAAUAAAAAUAUAAAGGCAAGAAUUUAACAGUGAGUUAGUAGAUUUGUUUCAACAUGAUCCGGAGCGGCAGUUUGCCUCAGUCGCUUCAUCAUAUCCUGAAUGAUUAGUACGUUGGUGUGAGAAGGAGACAUCAGCUGUGCUGCAGUGGUCGACAGCCAGAUGGGCUUGGAUUGCUCUGUGAAUGUAUGAAACCUAAACCUGGGUGAAAGCAGAUCAUAUUUAAAUAUCAAUCCCCUUACAUGAUCAUUUCUGAAAUUAAAUCAAACUGCAGAAACACAAUGCUGUAGUUCCCAUGAAUUACAAAUGCGCUUUUGGUUUAUCAUCUUGAAAAGUACAAUAGGCAUCUCAAACCAGGCAGCUGGCUAAUAAUGUCAAUACUUACUCACUCUGACAAAAUGGUGACUAGGAAAUCAAAUAAUUUAUAUGCUUUGAAACAAAAAAAAUAUUUUAUUUAUUGGUUACGUGUUUUAGUAAUAUCACUUUUGAGUCAUUUAAAAGUACAGAUCCGGAAAAGCAUUAAUUGUACUGCACACACAGCUAGGCCUCUGAGAAAGUGGGUGACACUCAGUGGGUGAGAAUUCCACAGGUGUUAACUUACUGCUCACCGUGUCAAUAGAUUUUAAUUAAAUUUCUGUAACAGAUUCUUGUUAACUCGGCUUUUCCACAUGGAAAACAAGGAAAAUUAUUACUGUUGGUGCAUAAAUACUGCACCCUAAUGAAGAAAAUAAAUCAGUUUUCAGAUAUUACUGACCAACAACACACUUUUUCCCCCUUUGUGGUAUUAGAAUCAAAUCUGUUUUUCAGAAUUUGUUUUUGUAUGUCUGCUGAUUUGUACUGUACUUUAAACUGUGACUAAAUUUUACAAACUUGUCACUCCUGCUACUAAAGUCUCAUAUACACAGAAAUAUAUCUGAUUCUGAUUAUUCUGAAUAAAGAGAUAUAACCAUUUGUAAUGGCCAUUCUUUGUAUCAUUUAUUCUUUCAGAAUUCUUUUUAAAUGAAACUUUAUUCAACUUGUGAAUUUAAAGCAGAUUUAUACCCAUAUACAGAAUAUCAAGAACAACAGCUGUUAGAAAAUACAAGAGAAAGUGAAAACAUAGAUUGCUAUUCAAUGUUAAAUGUGCUCUUCGUAAGUGCCAUUUUAAUAAUUAAUGAAAGAAAACACACCUUAUCUGCAUCAACAAAUAAACUCAACAUGGAUCCAUCAACUCUGACUUGGCCCUGCCAAAAACAUCUAAGACCUUGUGUGUUGAGUACCAUUCCUUCCCGUUCUUUUAAAAUACAUGAUUCUACUUAUCAAAAAAUGCGCACAGGUUCUAUUAUAAACACUACACGGUUUAAAACCAUCAGACUGAGGUCUUUACAAAAUACAAACACUGGUCUAAUCUACAGCAUCGUGUCACCAGCACCAAAGUGCACACAGAGCAAAUUGCGUCCUUUUAGUCAUGUUGUUAACAUCACACAGAAACGUUUAAUCUCCAGUGAGAGGGAAUUCUCUUCAUAAUCUCAUCAUCACUUCUCUUCAGUUGUCCUCUCCGUCUCGCAGCACCUUGUGCACAGC
ensembl:lncRNA